AUUAUAUUACAGUAUUUAAGAAAAGUCAAGGGUUUUAUAACCUUACAAAAGUCAGGAAAUUCUACGUGAAGGCUGAGAUGAUUUUGCCUUGACUCAUUUCAUUAGAGAAAAGGAAAGUCACAACAGUGGGAGGACUUCAGUGCCACAGAACAACUGGUAGUGCUUAGUGAUAUGCAUUGGUAUUUCUGUCUUUUGGGAAUUUCAGUAGAUUUCCUCAUCUUGGCAAGUGGAUAUCCCAAGAGUGCACUCUGCCCUAUCACAUCAGAACUUGCAACAACACCAGCAGAAAAUGAUGUAAAUACAGGUUGUUAGGAACUGUUUACAUUAAUUAUGCUAAUCAAGAUGGUAGGGAUUGGGGGCUGCAGAUAAAGAGGAACCUGCAUUUUCCAGAAUGGUGAGAAAUUUUAAAUGAACAUCUAUUAUUUUGCUUGCAGCAUAUCAGCA